CCUACGGGGGGCAGCAGUGAGGAAUAUUGGUCAAUGGGCGAGAGCCUGAACCAGCCAAGUCGCGUGAGGGAGUACUGCCCUAUGGGUUGUAAACCUCUUUUGUCGGGGAGCAAAAGCCGGACGUGUCCGGCUGUGAGAGUACCCGAAGAAAAAGCAUCGGCUAACUCCGUGCCAGCAGCCGCGGUAAUACGGAGGAUGCGAGCGUUAUCCGGAUUUAUUGGGUUUAAAGGGUGCGGAGGCGGAUUUUUAAGUCAGCGGUAAAAUCGUGGGGCUCAACCCCAUCCAGCCGUUGAAACUGGGGAUCUAGAGUGUGCGAGAGGUAGGCGGAAUGCGUGGUGUAGCGGUGAAAUGCAUAGAUAUCACGCAGAACCCCGAUUGCGAAGGCAGCAUACCGGUGCACAACUGACGCUCAGGCACGAAAGCGUGGGUAUCGAACAGGAUUAGAUACCCCGGUAGUC
rnacentral:rRNA from 1 species